GGAGGAGUACUCAAGUGGUGAAGAGGCGUGACUCGAAAUCUCGUAGGUCGGGUGACCGGCGCGUGGGUUCGACCCCCACCUCCUCCGCCA
rnacentral:tRNA from 2 species